rnacentral:pre_miRNA from 14 species
UUCUAUACCAAUGAAAAGAUUGUGAAAGACCCCCGGAGAAGGGAGACCCUCACUCAAGUCUCAGAAUGACGCAAAUCCCCAAGAACUCACAAGAGACC